GUCCAGUCUUUUUUAGUAGCCACUUAGUCACAAACACUGGCCAAAAUUGGCGUUCAAAUUAGUUUUUUGCAUUUUUCACACACAAACAAAUAUUAACACUAACUAUGGCCAGUGUUUGUGACCAAGUGACAUACCCCAUUUGCAAUACCUUGGGUUGUCUACUUUUGCAAAUGGUAUGCCAUCAUGGGGGUAAUUCUCAUUCCUGGGCUACCAUACGGUCUCAAAGGCAACGUAACCAAUCUGGC